AGCAGCCGCGGUAAUUCCAGCUCCAAUAGCGUAUAUUAAAGUUGUUGCAGUUAAAAAGCUCGUAGUUGAAUUUCGGGGUUAGUAGGUUGGUCAUGCCACUGGUAUGUACUGAUCUUACUGAUUCCUCCUUCCUGAUGAACCGUAAUGCCAUUAAUUUGGUGUUGCGGGGAGACUGGACUGUUACUUUGAAAAAAUUAGAGUGUUUAAAGCAGGCUAACGCUUGAAUACAUUAGCAUGGAAUAAUGAAAUAGGACGUUCGAUCCUAUUUUGUUGGUUUCUAGGAUUGACGUAAUGAUUAAUAGGGAUAGUUGGGGGCAUUAGUAUUCAAUUGUCAGAGGUGAAAUUCUUGGAUUUAUUGAAGACUAACUACUGCGAAAGCAUUUGCCAAGGAUGUUUUCAUUAAUCAAGAACGAAAGUUAGGGGAUCGAAGACGAUCAGAUACCGUCGUAGUCUUAACCAUAAACUAUGCCGACUAGGGAUCGGAUGAUGUUAAUUUUUUAAUGACUCA
rnacentral:rRNA from 1 species